rnacentral:lncRNA from 1 species
GCCAGCCUGGGCUACAUAGUGAGUUCAAGGACAGUCUAAAUGACAUAGUGAGAUCUUGUCUCAGAGAGAGAGAGAGAAAUUUGGACACAGACAUGCACAGAAGGAAAGCAAUGUGAAGAAACACGAAGAGAGGGUAAAAAAGCCAUGUGAUGAUGGAGACGGAGACUGGGGUGAUGCUGCUGCAGGCCAGGGAGCACCUGACACCACCAGAAUCUAGAAAGAGGAAAGGAAGGAUUCUACCCAGAGUCAGAGAGAACAUGGCCCUUCUGACACCUUGAUUUUAGACUUCUCAUCUCCAGAACUCAAGUGAGUGUGGAGUGAAGCACUGUGGAGAGGAUAAGUGCUAAUUGUCCAGCCACUCAUCACUGGACCUCCCACAUGGUGCUAUCGUUGAGUACACACCCCUCAUGGACUUGCUGAACACCACUGUUGAUAAAUACACGUCCCUUGUGGAUCUUCAGAGUAGCACUGUUGGAUCCAUAUGUGCUUCUCAUGGACGCUUCCCUAUUACCACUUGGACAGCUACCACUUUAUCAAUUUAGAUAUUGCCACAAUUCACAUCCUGCAAUGGUAUCAUAUAUA